GGGUGCGCAUACACUCCAUGAGCCUGAGACCAGAAGAUUUUUUCACUAGCAGUGUCUGUUGGUCUGCAACUGCACCCUGUGCACCAAAAUGAGGGCACAAGGGGUGGGGUAGACCAACUGCCUCUCCAUCUCCAGCUCCUUCUCUACUACAAAUCACCUUAGGGAAGGAUCCAAAACAGAGGGAAAGGAAGGCGGGUCAUGGAAUACCCAUAGAGACCUCACAUCUCAAAAAACUCCAGUUACUGUAAGAUAUUUUCCUGCUGUUAUGGAGAACAGUUUGAGCCUCUUCAGAGGAUGACCCCUUUGUGUCCACUGUCCACCCAAAUACCAGGCUGUGAGGUGGAGGGCUAUUGGCUUGGGAUGGUUGAGCUUGCCCUCAUUCUGCAGGUUCAGAAAUGGCUGGAUGCGUAUGCAUAGAUGGGAAGCCAUCUGGGAAAUGCUGAUAAAACAAAACUGUCUUGGCCACCAGAGAGCCACUAAGAUUAUUGAUACUCUGUCCUGAUUGAUUUUCCUCAGGACUCAAGAGAAAAGGGCUGUAGAAAUGUUGGCUCCGACUAGGGGCUGCUGUACCGAGCAGAGCCCAGCUCACAAAUAGACAACAAGGCUGCAGGAAGGGGGAGCAAACUGGAGGGUUCCCAGAAUCUGCAAUUCCCUGCACACACUGAAGGAAGGAGGCAGCAGUGCACAGGAAACUCCGAUAAACAAGAGCUCAGAACUGCACAAGAAUUUAAUUGGAUUUGGCAACCAUUAUGCUAGACAUCUGUACUCUCACAAACCGUUCCUACAUGUUUAUACACUGAAUUAGUCUUUCAUUAUGCAGCUGAACUCCAAAUAAACGAAAGGACCGCACAAUCUGUUACUUUUGUAGGCCGAACACAUUACACAUACCAGGGCCUCCUUUCAUUCCUCCAUUUCCCCCGCACCUCCAACAAGUUCCCUGUGAGCCACCUUCCCAUCCCUAUUUCAGGGACUCCACGCAACCUGCCUCCAACACUUUCCUCCCUCAUGCCAUGGUCUCUAUGUAUCCCCCCACUGCUACAUGUUAGGGGCUCAUUGUGCUCCCCCCCGAUUCCCUCCUCCACCACAUACCAGAGGCUCAGUGUGCCCAUUCCCCCAUAUGCCAAGGUCUCUGUGUUGCCCAUGUUCCCAUACAAGGGUCCCCUGUUCUUCCUUCUCUGCCAGGGGCCUUCUCCAAAACGCCAGGGUCCCUCUGUACUGCUUCAUUUCUCCUUCCCCAUAUUUUCCCCUUCUUUACCAUGGCAGGGGCGCUGUGUCAACCUCAUUCUUCCCCAUCUCAUGCCAGCAACCUGUGUGGUUCCCAUGGCUCCCAUACCAUUGUCCCCCAUUUUCCUCCUCUGUGUUGCCCAUGUUCCCAUACAAGGGUCCCCUGUUCUUCCUUCUCUGCCAGGGGCCUUCUCCAAAAUGCCAGGGUCUCUCUGUACUGCUUCAUUUCUCCUUCCCCAUAUUUUCCCCUUCUUUACCAUGGCAGGGGCGCUGUGUCAACCUCAUUCUUCCCCAUCUCAUGACAGCAACCUGUGUGGUUCCCAUGGCUCCCAUACCAUUGUCCCCCAUUUUCCUCCUCAGGCCUGGUGCUUUGUGUCCCCCACAUUCCAUCCACCUUCUUAAUGCCUUAGAGAUACAAACAGAAAUGCCGUCACAUGGAAUGUUAGACCUUGCUUUGCUCAGCCAUAAAGUAUAAUAAAGAGUAAAUGUCUU